GUCUCGGUGGUGUAGCAGUAGAAGCACGCGUCCCCGGCAUGGAUGAAACGCGGGUUCGAUACCCGCCUGAGGUC